rnacentral:rRNA from 1 species
GUGAGGAAUAUUGGUCAAUGGGCGAGAGCCUGAACCAGCCAAGUCGCGUGAAGGAAGAAGGAUCUAUGGUUCGUAAACUUCUUUUGCAGGGGAAUAAAGUGCAGGACGUGUCCUGUUUUGUAUGUACCCUGAGAAUAAGGAUCGGCUAACUCCGUGCCAGCAGCCGCGGUAAUACGGAGGAUCCGAGCGUUAUCCGGAUUUAUUGGGUUUAAAGGGUGCGUAGGUGGUUUGAUAAGUCAGCGGUGAAAGUUUGCAGCUUAACUGUAAAAAUGCCAUUGAAACUGUCGGACUUGAGUGUAAAUGAGGUAGGCGGAAUGCGUGGUGUAGCGGUGAAAUGCAUAGAUAUCACGCAGAACUCCGAUUGCGAAGGCAGCUUACUAAGCUACAACUGACACUGAAGCACGAAAGCGUGGGGAUCAAACAGGAUUAGAAACCCGGGUAGUCC